rnacentral:rRNA from 1 species
CGGGAAUAGCCCAGAGAAAUUUGGAUUAAUACCCAUAAUAUAUUUGAUAAGGCAUCUUAUUAAUAUUAAAGCCUCGGCACUUGAUGAUGGGUGUGCGGCUGAUUAGAUAGUUGGCGGGGUAACGGCCCACCAAGUCUACGAUCAGUAGCUGAUGUGAGAGCAUGAUCAGCCACACGGGCACUGAGACACGGGCCCGACUCCUACGGGAGGCAGCAGUAAGGAAUAUUGGACAAUGGACGAAAGUCUGAUCCAGCCAUGCCGCGUGCAGGAUUAAGGUCCUCUGGAUUGUAAACUUCUUUUAUAUGGGACGAAAAAAGGGCAUUCUUGUUCACUUGACGGUACCAUAUGAAUAAGCACCGGCUAACUCCGUG